CCCUUAGAUGUUCUGGGCCGCACGCGCGCUACACUGAUGCAUUCAACGAGUUUCUUCCUGGUCCGAGAGGAAUGGGUAACCUUUUGAAAGUGCAUCGUGAUAGGGAUAGACUAUUGCAAUUAUUGGUCUUCAACGAGGAAUUCCUAGUAGACGUAGUUCAUCAGACUGCAUCGAUUACGUCCCUGCCCUUUGUACACACCGCCCGUCGCUCCUACCGAUUGAAUUCUCAGGUGAGCCAUUCGGACUUUCAUCAUGCUGGUUUCCAGUUUUGAUGAAGGAAAGUCUUGCGAACCUUAUCAUUUAGAGGAAGGAGAAGUCGUAACA
rnacentral:rRNA from 1 species